rnacentral:lncRNA from 1 species
CAAGAAAGAAGUUGGAUGGUUAGAUGUCACUGAAGGACAGAACUGGGAGUUUGGAGGUGAUUGCCGGAAGUGGGCGGAGCACGAGGAAAGCCAUGUUUGGACCGGGCAGCAAGCCGGAAGUUGGUAGAAGGCUUCAUCCACCCUCUGACUAGCAGAUAAACAUCUGGGCUCAGAAGGCAACAGAAGCAGGCUUCUCUUCUGGUUCUCCUUAGCCAUGGAUCCUCUCUCAGAACUGCAAGAUGACCUGACCCUGGAUGAUACCAGCCAAGCCCUGAACCAGUUGAAGCUGGCCU